GGCUUCGUAGCACAGCUAGUAGAGCGCUUGCCUCGUUGAGGCGUGGUGUUCCUGUCACUGGUUCAAAUCCAGUCGAAACCC